AAACAAAAGAGAAUAACACAACUCGUUAUUAUUGUUUUUGUAGACAUGAAAUUCAGAGGCUGAUAAAAUACUGGAGAUGUUAAUUAAAAAUAAACAAACUGUUUUUGAAAUUAAACUGAAAUCCAGGGAAUUUACGGUUCAGUAUUUCAACUUUUAGUUUAUUCUUAUUUCUUAACUUAUUUUUCAAAAAUGUAUACUUGUUCUCUCUCCUACAGAGAUAAAAAAUAUAAAAUUAGAAGCUGGGAUUUUAAGCUCCUCUGCUGGAACAGAACAGAACUUCCCUUUCCACAGCUCUGCUGAGUGACCUCCCCGUUGUCCAGACUGGAGGUCAGAGAGCAUUACAACCUGUUUUAUCUUUGGUACAGCAAAAUAAAAUUCCUAUGACAUCAGCAAAACGAGAAUGUUGAUGCAGAAACAAACAUCACUCAUCUCCCAGCAGUCACGUGACUCAGAGCUGCGACUCUAAACGAAAGACUGCAGAGUUCAGAGUUUUAAACAAUCCAGGAAGUCACAGUGCGGUCUGCUAUCAUCCCAGGCAUAAGUUCUUACAGCAAACAUAUCAAACUCUGCCAUACAGUGAUGAAACUCCAGCACCAGCUCACUACUCUAUAGAAUCACACAAUAUGUCAGAAGUUUCUCCUUACCUGUGAGAGCACAGCAGGCAACAAGGAUCAACACAGCAACUCUCUGCAUGGUUUCAGGUCUUGACUGACAGCCUUGUUCUCCGUUCUUCACACCAGCCUGAUAUGCAAGAAGAGUGAGGCACUUCUUUCCAUAAAUACACGCCUGAGUCAAGGCAGUACAACAGCAGAGGAAGCACAAACAGCAAGCUUCAAAAUAAAAGCAAUGGCCGUUAAUGUUUGGGGCAACAAAACAUGACAUGAAGUUCCCGACUGUACAUAAUAGAGAUUGAGGAAAGUGAGCAUGGCAGAGUCAGCUGGUGAAGCCAUGAGUCUGACACUCUCCAUGUUUUCUCUUUCAAUCCACUUGAUGG